CAAUAGCGUAUAUUAAAGUUGUUGCAGUUAAAAAGCUCGUAGUUGGAUUUGUGGCGUACGGUGUGUUCCGGGCACUUGUUGUCUGAGUAACCUGCUGUUGCCAUCCUUGGGUGGAACCUGUGUGGCAUUAGGUUGUCGUGCAGGGGAUGCCCAUCAUUUACUGUGAAAAAAUUAGAGUGUUCAAAGCAGGCUUAUGCCGUUGAAUAUAUUAGCAUGGAAUAAUGAGAUAGGACUUUUUUGCUAUUUUGUUGGUUUGCGCAAAGAGGUAAUGAUUAAUAGGGACAGUUGGGGGUAUUCGUAUUCCAUAGUCAGAGGUGAAAUUCUUGGAUUUUUGGAAGACGAACUACUGCGAAAGCAUUUACCAAGGAUGUUUUCAUUAA
rnacentral:rRNA from 1 species